rnacentral:rRNA from 1 species
GACGAACGCUGGCGGCGCGCUUAACACAUGCAAGUCGAACGGAAAGGCCUGCUUUCCCUUGUGGAUUGCGGGUACUCGAGUGGCGAACGGGUGAGUAACACGUGAGUGAUCUGCCCCCAACUUGGGUAUAAGCCUGGGAAACUGGGUCUAAUUCCCGAUAGGACUGCAGGGUGGUGCCUGUGGUGGAACACGAUUUUCUAGUGGUUGGGGAUGUGCUCGCGGCCUAUCAGCUUGUUGGUGGGGUAAUGGCCUACCAAGGCGGCGACGGGCAGCCGGCCUGGGAGAGUGGACGGGCACAUUUGGACUGAGAUACGGGCCAGACGCCUACGGGAAGCAGCAGUGGGGAAUCAUGCGCAAGGGGCGGAAGCCUGAUGCAGCGACGCCGCGUGGGGGAUGACGGCCUUCGGGUUGUAAACUCCUGGCGACCGCGAGGAAGCCACCUGGUUGGAAGGGUGGUGACGGUAGUGGUAGAAGAAGCACCGGCUAACUACGUG